GGGCAGCUCUCAUUCACUUCAUGUCUACUGAAAAAGAGAAAAAAAACCUGAUGGGAACCAGGCUUGCUAAAGUAGCUGCAGUGAUAGAAAUAGACUAACUUCAGACGCUGUACUGCAGCACCUGUUCUAUCCUAGUGCAAGG
rnacentral:snoRNA from 1 species